GAGAACUCCCAUGAUGCUGACAUAUUGAU
rnacentral:piRNA from 1 species